GCAAUGGACGAAAGUCUGACCGAGCAACGCCGCGUGAGUGAAGAAGGUUUUCGGAUCGUAAAGCUCCGUUGUAAGUCAAGAACGUGUGUGAGAGUGGAAAGUUCACACAGUGACGGUAGCUUACCAGAAAGGGACGGCUAACUACGUGCCAGCAGCCGCGGUAAUACGUAGGUCCCGAGCGUUGUCCGGAUUUAUUGGGCGUAAAGGGAGCGCAGGCGGUCAGGAAAGUCUGGAGUAAAAGGCUAUGGCUCAACCAUAGUGUGCUCUGGAAACUGUCUGACUUGAGUGCAGAAGGGGAGAGUGGAAUUCCAUGUGUAGCGGUGAAAUGCGUAGAUAUAUGGAGGAACACCAGUGGCGAAAGCGGCUCUCUGGUCUGUCACUGACGCUGAGGCUCGAAAGCGUGGGUAGCGAACAGGAUUAGAUACCCUGGUAGUCCACGCCGUAAACGAUGAGUGCUAGGUGUUAGGCCCUUUCGGGGCUUAGUGCCGGAGCUAACGCCAUAAGCACUCCGCCUGGGGAGUACGACCGCAAGGUUGAAACUCAAAGGAAUUGACGGGGGCCCGCACAAGCGGUGGAGCAUGUGGUUUAUUCGAAGCAACGCGAAGAACCU
rnacentral:rRNA from 1 species